UAGCCGUUCAACGAGAACAUACACAUGAUUCAGGACACGUGAAUCAAGCAAACGAUCAAGGAAAAGACAAUACCAGUAGCAGAAUUAAUCUGAAGGCCAGCGCAGGAAACAUCAGCUACACCACGUUACAAAUGUAUGAGAACACAACGUUCAGAGAGCCAUACGAGCCUAUGCAGAUGGCGGGAGAUUCUUAAGCAUGUCAUAAUAUGUAUGUAUUUUUUUAAUUGUUUAAUUGUGUUGCAACCAUAUGAUUGUUCAGCUUUACUAUGAUUUACCAAACUCUGAAUUUUGCUCAGUUUCAGUUGUUGUUGUUUUUUUUAGACAAAACUAUGCCCAUAUGAGUAUCAGUUGUAAUAACAAUGUUCAAAGAGGCUUAAACAAACAGAAUCAUGAGUAAAACCAAUUGAAUAUGCUUUGAAAACUGAUAGAUGGAACCAGAUCUGCAUCAACUUAAAUCAUUAAAAUGUACACACA